rnacentral:tRNA from 1 species
GCCGCCGUAGCUCAGUCGGUAGAGCAGCGGGCUGUUAACCCGUUGGUCGACGGUUCGAGUCCGUCCGGCGGCGCCA